AGCCCGCACACUCCACUUCCCACUUUGUUUCCUUUUUACUUGCAACAGGAAAAACAACAGGUCCUCCUGCUGCCUCAUCUGCUCCCCUGCCCUCCCCACCUCCCCACCCCACCCCGACUUCGGCUGGAGUGUGUCACCCCGUGCGCCUCUGGAAGCUCCACCUUGCCCUUCUUCAAAACAAGUUUUUCUUCGUAUAUAUAUAAAAAUAUAUAUACGAAGGAAAACAACCAAAUAAAGGUCAUGGAGCCCAUACCAGCCCUCCAGGCACUGCGGGUUUACACACCCAAGAACUUCAACAAUGGCCAGAGAAAGGCAGAGUGGGGGGUUAGUGGGGGGUGAGGAAGGGCAGGCGAGGCCAGGAGCAGGGCAAAGGCUCCAAGUGCACCCAACGCAGUCCCCCGGGGAGUGGUGGCCUCUAAGCUUUGGUGAGCAGAGAGGGUGGGAGGGGCCUAGCCCCCUCAAGAUCAUAAUAGUGACUUCAAAUCACUUUGGGAUAUGGGGGUGGGGGUGGGUAAGCUGGUUAAUCGAUUGGUCUCUCAGUGGAAGGAAGGUCCCCUGUAAAGAAUUUUUGAGAGCAGACCCCGUGUGGUCCAGUGGGUUGGCCAUCGUCUGGCAAAUCGAAAGGUCACCAGUUCAGUUCCUGGUCAGGGCACAUGCCUGGGUUCCGGGUUCAGUCCCUGUCAUCCGGGCAUCUUUGAGAGGCAGCCAGUCGAUGUUUCUCUCUGGCAUUGAUGUGUCUCUCCCUCUCUUUUUCCCUCCUUUCCCCUCCCUCUAAAAAUGAAUACAUAAUAUCUUAAAAAUAGUUUAUUCAAGCCGAACUGCAGACAGACGCUGGGAGCAAGAUCUCAGAUGCCCCUCAGAACACCAGCCUCAUGGUCUCUUCGAUGCUUUUGGAAUCAAGACAGGAACCUAGGAUCCGGUUUCCAGAGGUGCAUGAACCUGAAUGCACAAGCCAGGUCUGGGAGGUCGAGCAGCUAUUUGAUUUCCUUGGACGGAGGGGCAAACCGAAGCUCGGAGAGAGGCUCUGUCCACCCAAGGCUGGCCUUCUGGCACCAGCUUGGGCCCGGCAGUGGCAGCAGCAAGGGGAGGUGCACAGCCGCUUCUGUUCUUAGCCAGGAAGAGGGAGAGAGCUUGAGCACCUUAAAACUCAUGAAACAUCUGAGGCUCCGGUCUCACCCCGACCACGGGCCUGGAUCACCGGUCCUUUGCAGGGGUCUCCAGCCCCCUCCAGGGAGAUCCUGCCAGAAGCCAGGGGAGAAAUGGACCUGUUCAGACCUGGCGGCAGGGUGGACAGCCUUUCCUGGGAUGUCCCAGCGCCUGUCCUGGCCCUGCGUUGGCGAGGCUGCAGUUUAAACGCUAGUCCCUGCUUUUCAGUGCUCAUCGGAAGAAACGGCCAGAGGAAGACUAUUUCCACAUCAUCCAAAAGAACUCGUCAUGGAAUAGGUAUCCGCUGACAGCCAUUGGAGUCUGGCACUGGGACACGCCCCAGCUGAGCGAGGUAGACCUUAUCAUUCACCCUGGAUGGAUAAGUACAGCAAGGCGGAGAAAGGCUGAAUCAUGUCGGAGGGAGCCAGCCACACCAGUGUCUGACGGCUUCCAGAUAGAUCCUCGCUCCUUCGAAAGUUUCACUUUCCCGAAAACCCGAUGAACUUCCUUUUUGAAACCACACAUUCGGACAGCCUCCUCUGCGGGGGGAAGGGGGCAGGAAACUCGGGCUAACUGUAAUGUCAGGUCGGCACCUUUCCUCCCCCAGCUGCUCUUCUCCCCCAGGUUCCUCAUAGACUUGCCCCCUUCCUUCCUCUAUGGUUUUCUGAUGCUCUUUCUCACUUUACUUUUAACUGCUGCCCUGUGUGCUUUGGAGGAAGCUACUUCACGUUCCCUUCGAAUUGUGAGUGAAGCGGACCAGUGAGGAACCGAGAGCCGCCCCGGAGGAAAAGAGGCCCCUCACUGUAAGGAUGGCACCCAUAUGCGCCCGCCCGAGCUCCCGCCUGGGGAGGCCUUCGGCCCCGUUUUUUGAAAGGAAAGCAGGUCUUCGUUUACAAGAGGACGGAGGACUCAGGCUCCGAUGCACAGACGAGGCUGCAGGCCACAGCCCUCCACGCUGCUUCCUUCAUCCCUGCCACCCACUCCUGCGAACGUCCCCCUCCAAGAGCCAGCAAAGCCUCCGAAGCCACUCGCAGUUAGCAGCUCUGCCUCGUUCAGCCUCCAGCGGCUUCACCACUGACACCCACGCAUGCUUAUGAGCAGGGUUAUCUCAGGGCAGCCAGAGCCAAGCUUAGCACCGGGUACUGGGGUGCAAGCUGGUGGGGGGGGGCACUUCCUCAGCGCCUCCACGAACAAACAAACGACUCCAGACACCUGCCUCCAUGCCCCGUCCUGGCGGGAAGCCCGCUUUGCUGCCUGUCCUUCCCUUCCAGGCAGAGCAAAACUUGCCCAGCUCAAACCCUUGUCUUUUUGCCUUGGCCAAGGAAAGUGCGGUGAAGCUUCGGGGUUAAGGGCUUCUUCCCUGCAGCCAGACUGCCCCGACCUGCCAGGCAGGGCUGUGUGACCUCAGGCAUGUGACUUAACCUCUCUGUGCCUCAGUCUCUUCAUCGGAAACACAGGGACGCUGAUAAUGGCUCUCAGCUCUUAGAAUUGCUGCCGAGAUCGAACAGCACCUGGCAUAGGAUGACCCCCCCCUCAAAAAAAUGUGAGUUAUUUUUUCUAGAACAGAGUCUUUGUGUUUUGCAGGACUGGUGUUUCUACUCAGGACCAGAACCUUUCAACAGUGGGAACAGCAGGUUGUGACAUGUUAACACAUCAGUGUCCUGCACAUCCAUUCGGGGGGGUCAAGUUCACGAUAACGGAGCAGAAUCGAAAAUAUCCAACUACAUUCUGUGUGGUCAGAGUGGGUAUCGCUCCCCGAGGCUUCCGUCCCAAGUUGAGGCUGGUGCAAGGGUGCGUCGUUAAGUCAAAUGAGUGUCUAACUGCAGCUCCCGGUGGGCAGAGCCGGAAAGCGGCUGCCCCGACCAGGUCAGGGCGGUGGCAACCACCGGGGAGCGUGGCAGACAGGGAGAGGCUCCUGGGAAAGUC